GACGAACGCUGGCGGCGUGCUUAACACAUGCAAGUCGAACGAUGAAGCUAGAGCUUGCUCUGGUGAAUUAGUGGCGAACGGGUGAGUAUCACGUGAGUAACCUGCCCCGAACUCUGGGAUAACUGCUGGAAACGGUAGCUAAUACUGGAUACGACCUACGAAGGCAUCUUCUGUAGGUGGAAAGAAUUUCGGUUCGGGAUGGACUCGCGGCCUAUCAGCUUGUUGGUGAGGUAAUGGCUCACCAAGGCGACGACGGGUAGCCGGCCUGAGAGGGUGACCGGCCACACCGGGACUGAGACACGACCCAGACUCCUACGGGAGGCAGCAGUGGGGAAUAUUGCACAAUGGGCGCAAGCCUGAUGCAGCAACGCCGCGUGAGGGAUGACGGCCUUCGGGUUGUAAACCUCUUUUAGUAGGGAAGAAGCGAAAGUGACGGUACCUGCAGAAAAAGCACCGGCUAACUACGUGCCAGCCGCCGCGGUAA
rnacentral:rRNA from 1 species